GUGUUUACUUUGUCAGCACAUAUACUAGUGUUAGAAUGAUUCAGAGAAAAUUAGCAUGGCCCCUGCGCAAAGAUGACAUACAAAUGUAUAAAGCAUUCCAUAUUUUU